rnacentral:rRNA from 1 species
UACGUAGGGUGCAAGCGUUGUCCGGAAUUAUUGGGCGUAAAGAGCUCGUAGGCGGUUUGUCGCGUCUGCUGUGAAAACCCGAGGCUCAACCUCGGGCCUGCAGUGGGUACGGGCAGACUAGAGUGCGGUAGGGGAGAUUGGAAUUCCUGGUGUAGCGGUGAAAUGCGCAGAUAUCGGGAGGAACACCAAUGGCGAAGGCAGCUCGCUGGGACGGUACUGACGCUGAGGCGACGGAAAGCGUGGGGAGCAAACAGG